rnacentral:rRNA from 1 species
GUCUAGGGCCAUACCACCCUGAAUGCGCCCGAUCUCCUCUGAUCUCAGAAGCUAAGCAGGGCCGGGCCUGGUUGGUACUUGGAUGGGAGAAGGGUGGGCAGAGACA